rnacentral:rRNA from 1 species
CAGUCGCCGCGGUAAAACGUAGGUCCCGAGCGUUGUCCGGAUUUAUUGGGCGUAAAGCGAGCGCAGGCGGUUAGAUAAGUCUGAAGUUAAAGGCUGUGGCUUAACCAUAGUACGCUUUGGAAACUGUUUAACUUGAGUGCAAGAGGGGAGAGUGGAAUUCCAUGUGUAGCGGUGAAAUGCGUAGAUAUAUGGAGGAACACCGGUGGCGAAAGCGGCUCUCUGGACUGUAACUGACGCUGAGGCUCGAAAGCCAGGGGAGCGAACGGGAUUAGAUACCCCAGUAGUCCCUGUCUCUUAUACC